GGAUGGUAUGUGCUAUGGUGAGUGCUGUGAAGUGUGAACCUGACGAUUCGCAGAGCUGUACCGCUAGGGCAAAUAAUGCAUUAGAUGUUAAUAAAAAUAAUUAAUAA